GCCCUCAUCGUCUAGUGGCUUAGGACACCAGACUCUCAUUCUGGUAACACCGGUUCGACUCCGGUUGAGGGCG
rnacentral:tRNA from 1 species